ensembl:lncRNA
GUGAGUUGAACUCUGGAGUUAAUUUAGUUUUGGUGUUACCAUGCUGCAGAAUCUGUCUGUAAGCAGCAUUUUAGAACUCAUUAGAGUAUCUCAUUUUCCCAGAUCUCUCAGUUUUAAUUAUAUUUUCUCAAUCAGGAAACCCAUUACAUUAGAAAUUAGAUUGUCCAAAAGGCUAGUGCAGCCACCAGUGUCAGCCUGUCAGAGGUGGUCAGGAGACUGGAAAAAGGAAACCAUGUGUGACAGUGCAGUUUUCAAGGUGAUGUGAAUUCUGCCAGACCCCAAGACCUCUACAGAAAAAGUUCAGUGUUAUGAGUUUGAGUGGAAGAGGCAAAGCCAACAGACACUGAAUGUGGCCAAAGAUAGGGAGAAGACAAAAGUGAACCCCAUUCUGCUGUUGUACCACCUAUGAUAGUUAGGUUGAAUGGUCUUCCCAAUGCACCCACAGCCUCUGCCUCUUUCUGCACAAAUGCUUUGCCCCUUCCCAUAUUGUCUGUCCUCCUGUAGCCCGUCACCUCUUUGCUUAUCUCUUCCUCUCUCUGUUUUCACCUUCUCUUCUCUCCCAUCCUUUUCCUUUAAAACAAUAUUUUGCAUUUGGCUGGUCUCAUUGGGCACACCAGGAACUUUUCCAGAUCGCUCAUGGGUGGAGUUUCCCAAAAGCAUCAGUUUGGUAUUAGUGUUGUGCAAACAAUGGGCCUGUCAAACUGAGCACCGUGAGGCAGCCUCAGAAUGUGGUGCCUCCCUGCAGAUCCCCACUUCUGCUGUGGAUCACCUCACACAGCACAGACACACAGCAAGAAGUGACCAGGAAGGAGAAUAACCACCGCAUGGCUCUUGCUCCUUCUUGUCUCUCCGUGUCCUCACACUGCUUGGUAGCUGCCCAUUUAAGAGGCUGUGAAGAAGCCACGGCUGCUGACACAGUUCAAAAUGCAGGCACAGUUUCAAAGUUGUGUGUAAAUUACCCAGCUCAUUUUUGCCAGCUGUCUUGGGAUAAUGAGAUGUAUAAUAAUGACAUUGUGAGCAGCCACUAUGGGACAGUUUGCAUCACUACAUUGUCUGCAAGAGGAUUUUAAGUAAAUAUUGCAGUUUAUAUAGAACUAGUAUGGCUUGACAUAGAGAAUUAGCUCAUUUGGGAGCCUUACUCCUGGUUAGGAAAACAGUAGGCAAGAACUCCUACAAUAAACUUAAACCACAGACUGGGUGGUAGCCAUCACUUCCUACAUUUCUUUUCGUAAGAAGCAGUUCCCAUACAUUUCUUGAACUUUAACUGCCUUAAGUUACUUUUCCAUUCUUGGUACACAUUUCAGGAUGAAAUUUUCAGGAAAUCUUCAGCUUUUUCGGAGAAUGACACCCUCUGGAUCUUUCCUACAGAUUUUUAUCAUCAAAAAUAGUAUGAAAAUCUGAUGGGAUUGAACCGGUGCAGAAUAUGCUUGUUCAGCUCACUGAAAGCCAUCGGGGAGGAUGGCCCAGGUCAGACAGAAAGCAGACACUGAGGCUGGCUCAAUGUGGAAACGGAGUGGGGCAAGGACACAGCAGAGAUCUGAGCACUGAAAAGCGCAUGAGGAUGGUAUGAGAUACCGAGGAGUUAGAAGCAGGGCCAAGGAGAUGUGCAGUGCUGGGAGAAGUCAGGCUUGGGGGUAAUGGAAGAACAUGACAGCCUAUUUCCUAUCACUUUGUAGUGCAACCUCUUGCUUGACUUAACAUCUAUCAAACAGCUGGUUUGGUGCUCACUCCGACCACUCUUGUUUUCCCUGUGAUGUGAGUGAGGGUGGAGAAUAACACCCUGCUACAGCUCUUGGGUGCUGCGCCUGCUCAAGAGGCAAAGUCAGCAUGGUGAACCUGAAAGCACAGAGAAAAUGCAUGCAAAGAAAAGUAUCUGGAACUGUACGCUGAAAAAGUGUUACUAAGGCAGCUCUGGAGAAUUGGAUUUUAUCUCUACAUCUGUAUCAUCAACCUGGCAGCUGUACUCUGUGUAGGAAGCAGUGGGAUGGAGGUGUGAAAAGGAUGGUAAGGAGGGGGAUGUGAAACCCAAAACCUGGAGACUGUGAAGUUAUAAGCAAGUGUUUUGGAUCCUUGGUUGAGAUCUCAGAGAUGCUACAAGGGAGAAAAAAGGAUUUGAAGCAAGAGUCAAAUACUGAAAAGCGAUGCUGUGAUUAUACGUCCAGUCAAUGUCAACAGAAGGAUGAGGAUGAAGAGAAGUGGAAAGGACCUUUGGAGGAAAAUAAUUAGUUUGGCAUUGGAAAUGUGAAAAAUAGAAAUGUGAAAAACUGCAGAUGAGACAUAAGGGCACACUGCCUGCUAUCUUGCCUGAGAAAAAGGUUCCACUCUCUCUAACUGUGGUUUUAUGAACCAUGGACCAUGUUUAUCUGCUGCUCUUCCUAUUCGAUUUAUAAUGGUGAGUGCAUCCUUUUGCAUUUUUUUAAAUCAAUUUGAUGCCUGCAAAUUGAUUUGCCAUGUGAGCAUCCUCUCCUGCUCUCAAUGCGCUCAGGCUCUAAUGAGCAGCCCAUGCUGCCUUCCACUCACACGCUCGUGGCUCCGCUGGCUCCGAGGCAUUUUCCAGUCUCCCAAGCAUCCUGCAGCACUUUUCCCUUGCCUCCUUCUUCCAGCAUCGGUUGGCAUCACCUCAGCUGUUGUGCCUGCUGCUCUGGCCUGCUGCUCCUGCCUAUUGAAGGCCACUGGUCCCAGCAACCUGCAAGGCACUUCCCCAGGUGCAUUCCUCACACAUGGCAAGCUCCAGGCCUAGCAAAGGCAGUGAGCUCAGCAUGGUGGCAGUUGGGGCCUGAGAGCAUUGCUUUCCUGCCAAGCCCAGCACUUUCUCUUCAACCUGCAUCCAGUUUCCCAGUUUGCUUCCUCCCAGAGCCCCGUGUGUGAGGUGCAGUGCCCGGGGGCUCCCAUUUCUGGUCCCCACCAGCCCACCUGGGAUCCAUCUUGUGGUUGGGAGCAGGACAUUCAGGUGGAAGCCUGAGCAAAGGUGAAGGAAACCCGCUCAAUGAACUGGAAACUCCCACACUGUGUUGUCAAACACACUUGUUCACUGGUGUGUAAAAGGGAAGCUGAGGAGAAAUGAAUUUGAAUGCCUUUUAGUUGGGAUUAUGGGCAUAUGGUGUGGUGCCAUUUGUUUUCCUCUUCCUGCUCUGCAGUGGGGCUUUAAGACCUUCACGCAUUUGCCUUUAUCUGUCAUGUCAAAAGGGGAGACGGCGAGAGGCCUUUUUUCUGCCCUUCUGCAAGGCAGUGCUCACAGCUUCUCACUUUACUCUGCACUUUACAUUUACAUCUGCACUUUUCCAAAGGUGCAGUCCUGAUUUUCAGAACAAGUACAGCCAGAUUGCAGAAGUGGAUUAAGCAGCUCCAGUUUAUUUUUAUUAAACUUCUCAGUAGCUCCUGGUAGGACUUUUGCUAUUUUCCAACAGCAGAAGGGGAUGGAUUUGAGGGGAGGGGGUGGACAUGAUGUCCACAGUGCCACACGCACACAGUGUGCUGGCAGCUGGAUGGUUAGGUUUUAUUGUUACAAUAGUAUAUUUAGUGUUUUGUAAAAAACUACUUAGGGAGCCGCUUCCCUUGUUGUACAGCAGUUUGUUAGCUGUAAGAUCUAGACAUGAGCCUUUAAUUAUGCCUAGCAUCUCCGCAAAAGCAAUUUCAGUUCUCUUCCCUGCCUCAUACAGCAUCUUGGGAUGCUCUGAAAUUGAAUGUGAACAAGCUAUUGUUUAACACAGCUUUAAAUCAUCACAGAAAUGUUCUGUAGCAUCAACUGGGAACGCCUGCUCCCAUCUGCCCUGCUCGUUUCUCACAGUCACACUGGGAAUGAAGGCCAAUAAUCAGAGAAAUUUUGUUUAAAGGUUAAGCACAGAGGAGUGUAUCUUCAUACGCCAUGUGAGUUAAUUGCAGGUGAAGAUGUGGCUCAGAAACACUUAAAGAGGAAAGUACAGAUUGAUAUUGAGCAUCUUUUCCAGCUCUCAUGUAAGCAUCUUUCCAGUCACUUUCCAAAGAUGUAUAUUUAUUUUUCAGAGGACUUGCAGGAGACUUAAAAGCUAAUGUUCUCUUCAGAAAAAAAUGUCUCUGGCACUGCUAAAGACAAUGUGAAUCUGCUCCUGCCCCUGACACAAACUCUCUGCGGCAGACUUUGAGCAGUCACUGUGUCACGGCAUCACAGUCUGACCUUUACGCUAAGCCUGUAGUCUGAACAAAAGUCAAGUCAUUCAUUUUUCUUCUGAAAAUAUGUUAUUGAUGACUUUAACAUACAGAAAAGGUAUAAACCACUGGCAAAAUGUAACUCAGUACUUCCUAUAUUUGAUGCUCCUUUUGUCCCGACGUUUCUGUUUCAAAUAACGAUGAAAAAGUUGUAUUGUACUUACAUCAAAGGAAAGUUGUGGAAGCAGAAACAUGAAUAACAAACACAUGCAUAAUGUGAUUGUGAACAAAGAAACCUGUGCUGGAAUAGGCUACGUAGGAACACAUGUAUGUAAUUGUAGCAUAUUGCUAACACAUGUAGGGGUCAUCUCGAUAUGCUUGGGAGCAGCUGAGAGCCUGGUUUGAAGGCAAAUUUGAUAAAAUCUGCUUUGUUAGUACAGUGACAACAACUGCUCUUUACAUCUUUAUAGACUGCUUACCACAGCUGUUUAUGUGUUGUGCUGAGCAGGUUUCCAUAUACAACGGUGCUCCAAAGGGAGAAGGUAAAUAGUAUGUAAGGAAGAGUAAACGUGAAGAUUCACAACAACAAAAAAAAACAGUGAUCAUAAUUUUCUGAAAGUAGUUUGUACACAUCUUUAAAAUAAUCUUAAAGCAGUUCAGCAGCUUUUCUUCUGGAAUUUACGAUAUUGCCAGCUCUUCCAGUGAAACGUGGAACAUGUCCAAGGAGCCACCACUCCGCAUGGGAGUGAGAAUGCAUUUUUCCAGUGUAACUGGAAGUCUCUGGCUUCAAGCUCUUAGUUCAGAGUGCUUCUGCAGGAGCACUGGUAAUGGUAAUUCAGAUCUUUUUUGGAAGUAAUUCAAGGUUUUAUACUUGCUACGCAGAAAUAGGUCUACCUGAUGUUUUUUAGUAAUGCUCAUGUUUUGCUUUGGUUUUGCCAGGUAUUUGGAAUCCUGCACAGACAAUGUCUAUGACUUUGAAUGUAUUCCUGCUUUCCUGUGCUGCAGCUCUGGGCCUUGUCCCACUCUCCUUUACAUCACCCUAUUGACUGCUGGUCUUCAGCACCAGAUUUUCCAAAUGCUCAUCAUCCAUAAUAUUGCAGCAGAUUUUCAACAGUGGGAAGCCACCAGCUGUGACAUUUACAGCCAGGCCCAAAUCCUCAAAAGAACUUGGCAUACUGCCCCAAAUCUGGUCUCAGUCAUGGAUGUGCAGUGCUUUCCAGCAGGAGUGAGAGCCCCAGUAUUGGGACCAACCCGGUUCUGCACAGAGGAACCUUGGCUCAGAUGUGUGCUGUCAAGAUGAAGGGGGAAGGAAGUGCCUUUCAGACAUAGGGAUUCUGCUUUGUGGUGCUUGCUGUACCACAGGGCAGCUGUUACAAAAUGAUAGUUACAAACAGGAGGAACCCAUAAAUACAAAACACAUUUUAAAUUAAGGAAGUCAUGUGGCUGGCCCACUGCAUUCAGUGACUGAUACGAAAUUAGCCACUCAAGUUUGGCACAUUACAGCUACACAAAUUAAAGCAGGUCUUUAAACUGUGAGUCUCUGAAUUACCUUCAGUAGAUCUAUAAAAGGUCUCCAGGAAAACAGGAUUCGUGUUCAUUAUACUGGAUCUUAUGUUUCCACCUAUAAUAUCACUGAAUGAUGCUUAGAGGUGCACAAAUUCAAAACAGAUUUUAGAAAAAAACAGUGGAAUAGAAUUACAAUCAGCAUUAAAAUGGGAGUUUUGAAGUGCAUAACCACUAAAUUACUUGUAGAAGUAGGUUUCUUGUCCUUCUGCCACACUGAAAACAUAUCUGAAGGUAAAAUCAAGCAGAGUGAAAUCACUGAAUGCAGGAUUAUGGUUAUUCAAGGGCCAGCUGGCCCUUCUAAUUGGCCCUCAAAAACUGUCCUAUCUAUUUUGAGAGCAGAAGAAUGAAGGCAGUUGAGCAAUUUUUAGACUAACCCCAAUAUGUGUUAAAAAGACAAACAAGAAAGCAUCACACACAAAAAAGUCACCAAGCCAAAAACAAGCAAGCAAGCCAAGACCCCACCAAGACUCUGAUGGUGAGUAAGGUCACUGCCUAGGGUGCUCCCACAACCUGCAUACAGACAAAGCUGCAGGAGACCACAUGUGGUGCAGGAAGGCAUGGCAACGCUCCUGGGCCUUGUCCUGGGGACAACCUCUUACUCUCCAUUUGUAUUUUGGUACAUUGCUAGUAUGUUCAGGCUCCCACAGUCCUUCACAGCAAGUAAAUACAGACAUAUCAUGCCUGAACACUUCCACACCGUCCCCCACAUACACAGACAGUGGCUGAAACUCUGCCCUGCCAAGGUCAGUGGGAACAUUUGUCAUGAACUCCGGUGCAGGCAGGAUUUCCCUUCUGGACACGCACCUCCUCCAGGAUGUGUGAGCAUGUGAGUGUAUGUGUAUAUACAGAAGCUUUACAGUACAAAGCACUUAGAGAAAGGCAUCUUCUCUCUUUAAAUGUUUUUCUUUGACUUGGUAUUGCAUUAAAUCAGAUCCUCACUAUCAAAGCCACAGUUUCUUGUGACUUAAUGGCAUUAAAGAGCCCUUCUUGCUGGGAGCUCUGCAAUAACAAUCAGGCAGGAGGAAGAGGAAACGAGCUGCGUAGCACACUCUGUACCUUGCAGCUACCAGCUAUUGUUAGAAGCACGUUGCUCCAGACAGAGUGGCAGCAAGGCACAGAGUGGGAAGCAGGUGUAACCUGCCAGGAACACCAGUCUAGCAAAAGCUGUUCUUUAAUUCUGAUGAGUACCCCUCCUUCUCAUCUACAUCCUUUGAAAGAGAUUUUGCAUUCUUACUGAUCAACCCUUGAAAGCUUAGAUAAUGUAUUUAUGGCAAACCAAGAGCUCAUUUUGUCAUGUUAGUACGUUGGUCAUUCAUCUGCAAAGUCACUGAUCCUUUUUUCUUCUGCUCCCUGUCAUAACAUAGCAUUUUAGAUGCAACACUGAAAUCCCAAGAAGCAUGUUUCCAGAUGCUUAGCUGUAGUCUGGAUUCUUUAUGGAAGUGAACAAAAUCCUCCUUGCACGCCCUGCCUAUCCCAUUCUUUUCAUUGCAUAAAAUUCAGAAAGAGAAAGCCUGACUAGUGGAGGCUGCCCAGGCUCCAGCAGGCCUAAUGGAACACUUUGUUCAGGAGUGUAGAGCUAUGCCUAGCAUGGCUGGCUGGGUUCAGACUGCUACUGGGUGACCCAAGCCCAGCUCAAUUACCACACCCUUAAAUUCACCUGCAGUGUGUUGCUAGAGAGCUAGUCUGCCCUCAGCAGGCCUGGAGGUGCUCUCAGUCAUCCACUGAGAGUUUAUAAAUAUCAGUGUGGUGGGCCUAGCCAGACUAUGCAAAGCCAGCCGUCUACAAAUUUAACCCUUUUCUUCAUUUAGUGUGGGAGUUACUGUUCUGCAGUGCAAUAUUAAAGCCUGUUUGUGACCAUGUUCAGUUCACCGUGCUCUUGAUUUGCAGCCUGUACUAACACCUUGGUUUUGGAUACCUGCCUCUUUGCUGAGUGCUUGCACACUGUGCAGUUCAACAUAAAUAAGCAAGUCCAGUCGAGCUGCCGCACUGUAAACAAGCAUGAUGAAAAAUCAUGUCUAUGCCUGCUACGUCCCCUCAUGAUAUUGCCUCUGCUCUGUGUCCUCCACUGAGGCCUGGAGAUGAAGUACCGCCUCAUAUACCCCACUCAUGAAAUGCAUGCCCUGGCUGUUUCCUGCUUAGGGCUAUACAUCAGCUGCAGGACACAUCUUGGCCAGGGAGUCAGUAGACCAUAUGAAGGCCUGGCAUUUUCCAUCCCUUACUAAGUGUUAUCUCGGCUUGUCCCUUAUAUGUUCUUUCUCCUUACAGCUAUUGGUCAUCCUUUAUCAUGGCAUCACUGUGGGGAAGAGGAUCCACCCUUGUUUCCCUCUAUCCUUCAUGCAGCAACUUCAGCUCCAGUAAGACUUCUCCAGGUUUUCUUCAGAAGCUGGCUCAAAACACUGCCAAUGUCCCCAGGCAUCUCCCCCAGCAAUUCUUUCACAGUUUUCUCAUCCUCUUCCCCAUAGCCUUAGUGGAACGAUGCUAAAAACAAUAAGAAAAAGAACUCAGAAAUGGUCUUUACACCAGGGAAAAGUCUCCAAUUCAAAUAGUCCCUUUGUGUUUGGGAAGAAAAAUACAAUUUAUAUCUCAUUACCACAUGAUUCCCCAGUCAUUUGCACUCCUGAGCUCUGUUGCUAUUUUACACUUGCUGCUGAUGUAUGAUUUAGCCUGGAGCUGCAAUGUAUAGAUUCAGACUAUGGGAAAAAGGCUGCAGACUCUGUACUAGUAGUCAGCUGAGCUUUAUUUUACAUAGUGGUGACACUGGACAACAACAACUUAGGUGCAGUUUUGGACUGAACAAGAUACAUUUGUCCCUGCUCUGUGGUGGAAACCCAUCCAUCUGGGCGCCCGAGCGCUGUCAUUGUCUCCUCAUUUAUCACUUCCCACUUGUGACAUCACUUUGUCUAGUUAACAGCAACUUGCCAUCUACAGAGCCAAGAAACUUAGAAAAUGUUCUGAUUUUCAUAUCAGGAAGGGCCAUAAGGUGCAUUUUGCAUAUCGAAUGCCUCAGAAACUGGUUCUGUGAAACUGUAAGCACCCAAAAUGCAAGUGCAUACAAUCCUAUGCUAUCUGCUUGAUGUUUUUGCUUUUGGUACAUUGUUUUUGUACUCUAAUAAAUCUUCUCACAUUCUGCUUUGCAUCUUUCCAUCUGGCACUGCUGACGUCAGAUUAAGGAAUGAAGAAGGAAGAGGGCAAGAAGCUGCCCCCAUUAGGAACUGGGCUGGCACAGUCCAGGCCACAGUACAUAAACUCCUUAAUACAAAGUCCAACCCCCCCUCAUAGAAAAAAAAAGUGCCCUUGUAAGAGCAACAGACUUGUCUGCCUAAUUCUUACAGAGGUGUAAUGCUGCCAGCUGCUCUCAUUGAGGUUGUUUCUCAUCCUGGGGUCUGAGCUGCUGCUGUGUGAGGGGGACAAACAGUGCCCUGGGGACAGCGGUUCCUGCAGCUCUGUCCAGCCCAGCAGGGCUGGCUGGCUGGGGGGAAGCACCAUGCAAAUAUGCUUGUGCUGUCACCAGAGCCAGACCAGUCACAAAGCAGAAUGGCUGCAUCCCUACAGAGCUGAGCCCAACACCAUCAGCUCUACAUAGAGCUGACUGGGAUAUGAGUCUCUCCUGACAAUGAAAGUGCCUGCAACAGAGCAGAGAAACCCAGGCUAUCUGCAGAGGUCUGUUGGUACCUCAGCCCUACACCUCGACUGGCUCUUCUCCAAGCCCCUACAACACUAAUGCCACCACAGUGUGUGUGUCCCUUCUGCAGCCAGCAUGCUGGGAGGGUAAUGCAGCCAUACCUAAACCCACAGUGAAAAUCAGAGGCAGUUGCACCUGUGCUGUCUCUAAUAUUUCCAUCACCAUGAAUAUCCAGCCUCCUGUAAAGGAAAUUCAUAUGUCAUCUUGUAAUGUCAGGAAAACGGACACUUAGCGUAGUAACCCAUACAUUGACUGUUCUAUCAUCAUGUCUUGCUGCUCCAGAACAGCAGAUCAUAGAUGACAUGUAUCACUGGAGAGAUGCUAACCCUUUCCCUGUAGCUAACAUGUUAUUUCUUUUUUUUUUAAAUUCCAUGCACUACUGUGCUUUAAUGUUGGAUGUGCCAAAAGCACUUUUCAUGUUCUACUUCCAAAAGUCAGUGAUCAAGAGGGAGAAGCAAGACCAGUGCUGAUGGUAUCUGAGAGUGCUCUCUCACUGAAUAUUUUGAGAAUUUAGAUGGUAGAACACCUUCCUCCAAAGCAUUGUUUGUAGAGAUUAAUGAAACCUGUACGUAUUUUACAAAUCUGAUUGGGAGAGAAUUUCUUGAAUUUAGAAAAACUUGACACUAUUGCAGCUUGUCUAGAUUGAAAUGAAAACUAAUUUCAACAUGUUGAAAAUCCCACCAAAGUGGAAAUUUCCAGUUCUAAUCUGCUCUGAAGAUCACACAAAUAACAUUUCAUAUUUUUAUGGCAGCAGAUCAGAACAGCAUAAUUCCUUUCUUCCAUAUGGCAAGGAUGAUGCAAAAUAAUAGCUGGAGUGAGAAAAAAAAAAAUCUGUGACUAUUUGAAAUACAAAGAGGAAGAGCUUCAUUGAAAUUAUCUCUUUGGAACAUCAUUCCUCCUAACUCAGAGCUCCUCAGCACACGUUUGGCACAAGCUCUGCUAGGGUUUGCUUCUGCACUACUGACAGCUAGAGAUGCAGAAUCCCAGAUGCAUUUUUUUCUCCACCAAGAGUGAUUGGCGUAAAAUCAAACUAGUCCUGUGCUGUCUGGCUUGAAGUCCCUCUGCAGAAUAUAAUAGCUGUCCUACUAAUAUUGCAGUAUUUUCUUUCAAUUGAUUGACUGGGUGAUUAGUGAAAAAAGAACAAAUUUGUGAAGACGAGGAUUUUCCCUCCAUGCCAGCACUAGGCCGGACCUCCCCAUGUCCCGUGCAGGCCAUAGUGGAUGACAGUAUCUCCCUGGAGAGCUGAUGGCACUGCAAAGAGACCGUGCCUCCACUGCUCCAAACAAGGAGCUUUUUACAGCAAAACAGCUGAUAUGAAUGGCCUUUUUUGUCUGUGAAGAAAGAGUGUGUUUCCAGGCAUGUGCAGGGCACAGACAUGGCAGCUGCUGAGGGAGCAGUGCUUGGCCAAGCUGGAGAUCCCGCUGGGCAGAACCAAAAUAGCACAUGACCUCAUCACCCAUUAAAGAAUAAGUUGUCCUGCACCACGGGCAUCAAUCAUCCAUGACUCCUUCACAAGAAUCUGGGGUGAACGAUUAAUUCACAAGAGUUAAAUGUCCACUAACACAUACACAAAAAGGCUCAUAGGGUCUACCAUUCUAAAAAAAAAAAAGUAACAAACAGAAACUACUACUUCUUAUUCAUUAUAAAGUGAGGGGGGGGGGAAACAUUGCAGAAAUAUAAGCAACUGCCCUGAACUUUCCAUUUUUUUAAACAUAAAUGAAACAUUUUCUUCCAUGUUAGAUCUUGAGUGAUGCUGUUUCUGUUCUCUUCCUUUGACAAUUUGUGAGAUGAAUUGGAGACCUGAGAUAUCUCACUCUAUUUGCAUUCAGUUCAGUGAAGAGUUUAAGACAUCCCUUUCUUACAGAGAAGGAAUUACUUUUUUUCCCCUCCAGUGAUAUAUUUACAUAUCUUCUGCACUUACUUUACCAUCUUUUUAAAAUAAAGUCAUCACCACCUUGAAAUGUUUACUUAGGAUUAUGUUCUCUUAGACCAGUGCAGGUGAAAUUAUGUCUUUCCUUAUCCAAAGAAGACACAAACAUCCUGUAGGAACAAAGUUCUCAGGAUCCUUCCAUAGAAAUGUUCACAUACACACUAGCAAAGAGGUUUUAUGUUCUGUAUGCAUGGGUAGUUUGGAAGGUAUAUAGGCAAAGUAAAGCAUGCUGCUUUAGAUACUUGUGUCACAUGCUAUUGAUCAUGCAUGUGAGACUCUGAUAAUUAGGAAACCAAUGGACAAAGCAGCUGGCAUUGCUAUCCAUCUUGAGCAUAAUAAAAAUUUGUUUAGUUUUAAUUUCACUUCAUGGAAAUUGGAAAUUUCCCGAUCAUUGUAUUGAUUAUAUAAUUAUUAUUGUUAAGUAGUACAGUGCUGAAGGACGCUGCAGGCCAUGGAAAAUGAUCAAUAAUACGUUAGAUGGGAAAUCAUGUACAUUAACAGUAGUGAAUCACUGCUACUAAAGGAAAGAAGAAAAUGCAAGCAUAUUUUAUACUGAAGCAGUGACUAUAGAAACCCAUGCCCAGAGUAUGGGGUUACCUGAGAAAGCUUGAACACAGAUCUCCCCUAAGCCAGGGGUUGCCCUGCAGGGCACUGAACACAGAGUCCUGGCACAGCAUGACUCUCAGAGGUCCCAUGUGCAGAAGGCAUUACUCCUACAGGGGACAGAGCCUUGGGUCAGAUACAUGCUGGCAUCUUCAGAAAGGGAAAGUACAGGCUGCUGUCAUUUCCUUGGACUACACUAAAUGGAGAUACUUGACCCACACAGCCAUAUCCCAUCUUCCUGAGAGGCCACCAGCAGGCUGGGAGCACUGGGGCAGCUGGCCAUGGGUAAGGACAAGCAGCUCCUCCUCAGUCUUCAGGCAGUACCCAGAAGAGGGAGGAGAUUAAUGUCUUUUCCAUCAUCUGAAGAGCUAAUGCACAUGAGCCUUCCUCCCCUCCCAGGAGCACCAGUGCCUCUAUGGGCACCUCCUGGCACCAAUAGCAGCCACGCACCAAAGGACACAGGGCCCCACAGGAGACAAAGGCAGCACAUGACACGUUGCCAGGACUGCUCCUGAGGAAAGAGAUCCAGAAACUUCUCUGAAACUCGCAUUGGUUUCUGUGAGGCCAUGGAAGUCUUUGGGACUGCAGCAUUUCUUCAGGACCUUUCUUCAGGAGGAGCCAUCUCAGGGCCGACAGCCACCAUGCAGCAGCAGGAAGCCACACUGCUGGUCUGCCUUUAUGCAGGGCCAGGCCCUGUGCCUGAGGGUUGGACCUUUUCCAGUCGCGGGUUGUACGGCUGCUGCAGAAGCUGCUUCUGGCCACAUGUUAACACAGGCUGUGACAGGCUGUAAUUUCAGUGCUGAGGCAGUGCUCGGCUUUGGAGCACAACGAAGGGGAUAGCUGCUGCACGGGAGCUCACAGUAUGUACCGUGGUGGCCGCUGUCAUGGGUCUCUAGCUGGUGACAUGCAGGCUGUGAUGGGAAAACUGCUUAGGAGCUGAGUCUGCAUAUUCUGCCAACAAGCAGGGGUUGUCAGCAUGAUGAAGUCUAUCACUAUCCUAAUUCUUCAAAUUGGCAUUUGAUUUUAAAAUUCAGCAAGACUGAUGGAGCCAAAGCUUAGCGGAAAACACAACAGAUGUCAAGAGAUUCAUGCUAAAACUGGGAGAGAGCUGUGUAAAUGCAGCACAGGUGGGCUGAACUGCAGUCAUUUCACCUUCAGGAAAUAAAGUUUUUGCACUAGAAAAAAAACUCUUUCGUGGAAGUCUGAAAUGACGUUGCUUUACAGCCACUGAAGCAAACCAACACCACCUGUGGAGCGUCUGCUGCUGUCCCACAGCCUUCACUGGAAAGGACUGGAAGAAAGGCACAGUAAAACCUGGAGGCAAGUGCUGUUCACAGCUGCCCCGGCAUUGUGUUUGCAGAGGGAGUUUGUACCAGGGAUAUGAAGAAAUCGUUCUCUUCAGUUUCCAUAUCAGGUUUUCAGAUCAGCGCUCUUCCCAGCCUUUCCUCCUCCGGGCUGCUUGCAGUGUGGAGUGCUCUUUUCCUGUUUACCCUUACAUGCCUUUUUAUUACCAGGCAGGAUUUUUUUUUUUUUUUUUUUUUUUUUUAAGCACACUCAGGCGCCUGCUUGUUUUUUCUAAAGCUCUACGGGGAUUUGUUGGCGUCUUUUGUAGCAGGUCAUCCUGUUUUCAGACAAAGUUCCUGUCUUGUUAAAAACAAUCAUUUCUGGAUGUCUCUGUAUGGCUCCUGCUUUUAAUCAUCCUGAGUCCUUGAGCCACGUAGUCCACACCCCAUUUAUGUAGGUUGUGUUUGUUUGCGGCUUAAAAAAUAAUAAUUAAAAAAAUAAUAAUAAAAAAAAGGAAGAAAGAAAAGAAAGGAAGAACCACUGUGGCACACUAAGGAUAAAGGCUACGAGUCACAGACAGAGUGGCGGCAGCAGCCAGUCCCUUUCCCACCGCUGACAGUGCCCUUUCCUCUGUGGGUGGGAGCAGGCUGGCUGCAAAUGUUGGGAAGGGAUCAGCCAGAACAGUGCUGCUGGGCAGGGUCUGUGCUCAGAGCACCUUGCUGAAAGAACAUGGCAACAAUCAUAGAAUCAUAGCAUCACCAAGAUUGGAAAAGACCUCCAAGAUCAUCCAGUCCAACCAUUCACCUAUCACCAAUAUUUCCCAUUAAACCAUGUCCCUCAUUACAACAUCUAAACAUUUCUUGAAUACCUCCAGGGAUGGAGAUAAUGCUCUAUAUGGCUCUAAAACCCAUGGAUGGACAGUAGUAAUGCUAGUCUAAUCCUAUAUAGCUUGUUGGCUUUAAAUUUAAUGUUGAGAGAAAAGCUCAGACAACUCUCUGCCAUAUUCCACAUGUUUUAAUUCUGUAUGUGACACCUAUAACUGUAGCAAUGGCAAGUAACAAGAGU